rnacentral:tRNA from 1 species
GCCUCUGUAGCUCAGUUGGUUAGAGCGCUGCACCUGAAUCGCAGCGCCGUAGGUUCAAUUCCUACCAGAGGAC